rnacentral:rRNA from 1 species
GAGUUUGAUCUUGGCUCAGAACGAACGCUGGCGGCAGGCUUAACACAUGCAAGUCGAGCGCCCCGCAAGGGGAGCGGCAGACGGGUGAGUAACGCGUGGGAAUCUACCCAACUCUACGGAAUAACCCAGGGAAACUUGGACUAAUACCGUAUACGCCCUCCGGGGAAAGAUUUAUCGGAGUUGGAUGAGCCCGCGUUGGAUUAGCUAGUUGGUGGGGUAAUGGCCUACCAAGGCGACGAUCCAUAGCUGGUCUGAGAGGAUGAUCAGCCACAUUGGGACUGAGACACGGCCCAAACUCCUACGGGAGGCAGCAGUGGGGAAUAUUGGACAAUGGGCGAAAGCCUGAUCCAGCCAUGCCGCGUGAGUGAUGAAGGCCCUAGGGUUGUAAAGCUCUUUCAACGGUGAAGAUAAUGACGGUAACCGUAGAAGAAGCCCCGGCUAACUUCGUGCCAGCCGCCGCCGUAAG